rnacentral:rRNA from 1 species
AUGCACGCUGGCGGCGUGCCUAAUACAUGCCAGUCGAGCGAACAGAUGAGGAGCUUGCUCCUCUGACGUUAGCGGCGGACGGGUGAGUAACACGUGGAUAACCUACCUAUAAGACUGGGAUAACUUCGGGAAACCGGAGCUAAUACCGGAUAAUAUAUUGAACCGCAUGGUUCAAUAGGGAAAGACGGUUUUGCUGUCACUUAUAGCUGGAUCCGCGCCGCAUUAGCUAGUUGGUAAGGUAACGGCUUACCAAGGCAACGAUGCGUAGCCGACCUGAGAGGGUGAUCGGCCACACUGGAACUGAGACACGGUCCAGACUCCUACGGGAGGCAGCAGUAGGGAAUCUUCCGCAAUGGGCGAAAGCCUGACGGAGCAACGCCGCGUGAGUGAUGAAGGUCUUCGGAUCGUAAAACUCUGUUAUUAGGGAAGAACAAAUGUGUAAGUAACUAUGCACGUCUUGACGGUACCUAAUCAGAAAGCCACGGCUAACUACGUG